GAUGAAGAACGUAGCGAAAUGCGAUAAGUAAUGUGAAUUGCAGAAUUCAGUAAAUCAUCGAAUCUUUGAACGCACAUUGCGCCCAUUAGUAUUCUAGUGGGCAUGCCUGUUCGAGCGUCAUUAAGUCCACUUAAGCCCUGCUUAGUGUUGGGAGACUGCUCCAGCGGUGCUACCCUGUAGCUACCCUGCAGCUCCUCAAAGACAGCGGCGGAGUUGUGGUAUCCUCUGAGCUUAGUAACUUGUUCUAGCUUUCGAGUACACCACUUCCCCUGCCGUAAAACCCUUAAUUUUUAAUGGUUGACCUCGGAUCAGGUAGGAAUACCCGCUGAACUUAAGCAUAUCAAUAAGCGGAGGA
rnacentral:misc_RNA from 1 species